CCUACGGGAGGCAGCAGUGAGGAAUAUUGGUCAAUGGGCGCGAGCCUGAACCAGCCAAGUAGCGUGAAGGAUGACUGCCCUACGGGUUGUAAACUUCUUUUAUAAAGGCAUAAAAUGAGGCACGUGUGCCUUUUUGCAUGUACUUUAUUAAUCAGGAUCGGCUAACUCCGUGCCAGCAGCCGCGGUAAUACGGAGGAUCCGGGCGUUAUCCGGUUUUAUUGGGUUUAAAGGGAGCGGAGACGGGUUGUUAAGGUAGUUGUGAACGUUUGCGGCUCAACCGUAAAAUUGCAGUUGAUACUGGGAGUCUUGAGUACAGUCAAGGUAGGCGGAAUUCGUGGUGUAGCGGUGAAAUGCUUAGAUAUCACGAAGAACCCCGAUUGCGAAGGCAGCUUACUAAACUGUGACUGACAUUGAUGCUCGAAAGUGCGGGUAUCAAACAGGAUUAGAUACCCGUGUAGUC
rnacentral:rRNA from 1 species